UUGGUUUUAAACCGACAUUAAAGAUUCCCUUGAAUUCCUCACACUCUUUAUUUUUCCCCAUUUUUUUUUUAAUUUCCGUCUUCACUCCCCCCAUUUUCUUUUUCCUCUCAUUCUCACACUUUCACUCACCACAACCCAUGCGAAACCCACGAAUGCAGGCAUUCUUCAUCUUCAGCAGCUUUUCAGACCCAUACCUCUGAUGGCUUGUCUUUUCUAUCUCUGUUAGCUCGUCCUCUUGUCCUUUCUAUCUCCAUUGUCAACUCCUUCCAACGCGAGCUUCGUACCAGCUCCGUCAAGAUCUGAGAGAUCGACUCUUUCCAGCAUCGUCGAGCUUUAUUUCAGGUUUGUUCCAGAUCUGGAAGUUGUUCUCUUCACAUAUUUCAAGUUUAUUUCAGGUCAAACAAAAUGUUGAAGAAGAAAUUGAGAGAAAAGCUAGCAGAAUCGUUGAUUUCAUCAGUCGUUGGAAAAGACUCCAACGGUGAUGUUUCCGGUGAACCGGACACAGAAUCUCGGCGACAAUCCCUCAAAGAGCUGUUAGGCACUGCUAGUCGCCAUGGACCCAGAUUUUCUAAGCGAGAGAAAUGAAGAGAAUCGCUCAUUUUGACAGCUUUGGAUGGGAAUAAAGAUGAGAAGAAGGAAGAUGGGAAUUGAGGAUUGGGAAAGAUGAAGAGAGAGAUUGAAUGACAUUGAUGAAUUGGCAGGUGGAAAAAACACAUUAUAAUAUAGGCAGGUGGAAAAAACCCAUUAUAAUAGGUGCAAGUUUGACGUGUAAGGCUAAAUUUUGAUUCUUGGAGAUUUGGAAGGAAGAUAGGAAGAUUGCAUUAGACAUGUUUUAAGAAGGUUGAUAAGUGGAGAAGGUGCACCCAACACAAAAAGGACUUCAUAACAACAUUAAUAACAAGUACAAGUUAAUAUUUAUAAGAUGCUUAUCUUCAAAGUCUAUUUGUUCUAAAGUUUUGGAUUAGAUUUAGUGUUGGAAUGCUAUGACUAUCCUGCAGUUAUGGUAGUCAUAGCUUAGUUGUUUAUGACUUCUAUUGAGUGGUUUAUGGUAGUAGAACUUCUUAGGCAACCUUUGGUAGUUUAUAUUUAUGCAUUAUUUGUCUAAAUGAAUCCGGUUACACUAUGGUAGUUGUGGGUUAUUCAUGCAUUAUUGGUUAGGUUAAUUCUUCAUUAUCAUCGUCGAAUCUUUUGUUAUCUCUUGUUUAACCAUUUAUUAUGCUUAUUUGUCAAUUUGAAUCUAAUUCGUCCUUGGAAUCUUGUUUGGAUAAUCUAGGAUUGACCCUCGAUAGCAUCUUUUAGUUGGAGAUGUUUUUUGUGGUUUCAUUUGAUUAAAGUCUUGUAUCCGUUUAGUGUGCUUUUUUUAGUUGCUUGAAGUUUUGGUGUUGAUUACCACAUAUAGGUUCAAGAUUGUAUGUGACUUGGGAAUCCCUGAGGUCUAAUCCCUUUUGUUUUUUCCCCAUUUCAAUUAACCAUAAAAUAGUAUUUAUAUCGUGAUUUUAAUUGAUCAUAAGCUGAUUAGUGCUUGAUUAUGGUAAGUGAGGAGACAUAUACCUGUUACCUCCUUGGUCAUCAACUGGUCUAUCACUGAGGCAAGUACCCAAAACCUCAUAGCUUGUCAUCUUUCCUUGAUUCCAACUUUAUCUAUUCACUUUUUCUUUUAGUACUUAUUGAGUUGUUGUAACUUUGAGUAUUAGUCUGAGAUCUGUUCAAUAUUUUUCUAAAAAGAUCUUUGUAUAUCAUCUUUAUGCGAUUCAAAUGGUGGAUGAUUUGUGAUAUGUUUCAAUCUAUUAGGUAUUUUGUUCAUUGUUAGCUUGUUUUUUCUUGUUAAAUAUGCCAUUCAUUUUGUGUUUUGUAUUGUAAAGCUUUAUUUGAUAGAUGAUUGUGGACUUAUUCAACUUAACAGGCUUAGAUUGAGUUUGGCAUGAUUUGUAGAAUAGUAAAAACCGCUUUUCUGAAAGUAUUUAUAGAAAGAGUCUAACUCUAAGGAUACGAGUCUCGAAAUAUAUCUCGAAAUUAAUCUUUAGAGUUCUACUUCCUUAUUUGAUAUGUGGUUGUUAAGAGUUCUCAUUUCUAAUGCUAACUACUUGUGUUUGUUGGCUUUUGAAAUCACUUAUUUAUGUAGAUUUUGUGGUUUAUUGUGAUAUUUGUUUAGAUUGAUGAAAUUUUGAACUUUGCUGAGUUUUUGUUUUUGGCUUUUCAUUUCAUUGAUAAGAACUGAGUCCAUGAAUCUGGAGGGUAUAAGAUCAAAUGUCCAUGUGACAACUUUUGAGACUUGAAGUCAAGUGAGUAAUCAUAUCUGAGUUUUUGUAAAUCAUUGUUGUUUGUGUUGUUUGUUUUGUUGAGAGAAAAUUAUUGUUUGAAUAUUGUUGGAAGUGCAUUUCUAUGAACAAGUGUUAAAGUAAAAAAAUUUUGUAUUGUUGUGGUAGUGUAGUCAUGUUGCCGAAAUUUUUUUAAAACAUAAGAGUUAUAAAGUUAGUUGUAGGUUAAAAUAUGGUAAUGUUCCUUAGUUUAGCAUUGAAAUUUGGGAUAAUUACAAUGACUAUUGUGCAGCUGGGGUUGUUGUUUAUGGGUUGAGUUCAUUUCUUUCGUUAUUUAUAAAUUUUUUAUAUUAAAGCAACUUAUAUUUAUUAGUUUAUACCUCUCAUAUGACAUCGCUCGCAUGAGUACAGGGAGGUUUUGAGUAGAGGGCAUAACAAACUCAUCCAUAGAAUAGAGAAAUGAAUAGCAUGUUUUGCACUCAUUCCUUUUGAUUUUUUGAGAUAGUAAUGACACUCCAAAGUAGACAACCAACUCUCUCAAUCUUUAGUUAUUUUUUUUUUUGUAUUUGUUGAAAGUUAAGUUGUAUAUACUUGCAAUUAAGAUUUUAUUUUGGGAUUUUUUUUAAUACAUAAGCAGCCAACUACUGCCUUGUAAGUAUAAAUUUUGUUAUUCUCUUUGGGAGCUAACUAUUAUUUGUACUUUGUAAGCAAGACUUAGAUUUAAAUUUUUGUGUUUGUUGAGAUCUUAAUAUAUAAAAACAAUUCUUGU